GCUCCUGUGCUUUUAUUCUGCUCGCUCGGAAUGGUGUUUUGCUCGCUCGCGUUAGUCGACCUCCAAUUUUGACAGGUUGUGGGAGGGAACAAACGCUGGCCCUCUUGUGAUUGGUCAUUUCCCACACGGAAGCCCAGGAAGGGAUGGACCAUGGUCUUGACCAUAGAAAGCCAGCGAAGAAGAGACCUUGACGAAGACAAGAGGAGGACGGUUUAUGAGACAGAAUUACAGCAACAAUGGAUGACGGUAACGUUAAUGACUUUGGGCAGCAGCCUCAGGACAAUUGUGGGGACACUCUCAGAAGGCAGGUCUUGUUGAGGCUGCUUUCCAAAUUUGAAAUGGGACUCGCCAGACAGCCCAUAGACCUUGAUUAUUUUGAGUUUACAUGUAGGCAAGAGCUAUAUCUCUGCAAUGCAUUGUCGCGCCAUUUCAAUGUACCUGCAGAGAUACUGCAGGCCCUGGAUGAGUUUUUUAAAGCAGUAAAAGAGUGCCUGGAGUUGACUAAUGUACACAUUACAGCAAACACA